AAAAUUUUUUCAUGCUAGUGUUUUAAUUUCUGAUGAUAAUAAAGAAAAGAGAUUAAAUAUUUAGUAGACCAUUUCCAGGAAAAAAAAAACAUUGACAUACUUUACAGUGGUAUCCCCUAGGAGGUUCCGUGGAUCAAGAGUAAAAUAAGUUCCUUUGCGUACCACUAAACAGCUGGCACUCUCCCACAGAGAGAAGAAUAUUUUCAACAUGGAAAAUAUAUGAUACAGCAUGUGCUUAGUAUUGGGAAAAUAUCUACUUUCAAAUACAUAUAUUAAUGUUUGUAUUUCAAUGUUUUUCCUCUAAAAAUAAUGUUACUGGUACAAUGAAAAAAAACAGGGAAAAGGAAUCACAAUAAAAAUGAAAGGGGAGGUGACACUGCGGGGCGGGCCCACAGGCUGCAGGGUGGACAGCGGAUGCAGGGACGCGGUUUGAGCUCCUCCCCCCCCAUGGCAUCGUUGCCGCCAUGACGGGCCUAGUGCUGCUCUACUCCGGGGUCUUUGUGGCCUUCAGGGCCUGCCUGCUCGUCAUGGGAAUCUGCUACACCAGUUUUGACUUGGGCUCCCGCUUUGAUGUGGCAUGGUUCCUGACGGAGACUUCCCCUGUCGUGUGGUCAAACCUGGGCAUUGGCCUAGCUAUCUCCCUGUCUGUGGUUGGGGAAGCAUGGAGCAUCUACAUCACUGGCUCUUCCAUCACUGGGGAAGGGGUGAAGGCCCCCAGGAUUAAGACCAAGAACCUGAUCAGCAUUAUCUUCUGUGAGGCUGUGGCCAUCUACGGCAUCAUCAUGGCGAUUGUCAUGAGCAACAUGGCUGAACCUUGCAGUGCUACUGACCCCAAGGCCAUUGGCCAUCAAAGCUACCAUGCAGGCUACUCCAUGUUGGUGGCUGGCCUCACAGUGGGCCUGUCUAACCUCUUCUGUGGAGUCUGUGUGGGCAUCGUGGGCAGUGGAGCCACCUUGGCUGAUGUGCAGGACCCCAGCCUCUUUGUAAAGAUUCUCAUUGUGGAGAUCUUUGGCAGUGCCAUCGGCCUCUUUGGGGUCAUCGUUGCAAUCCUUCAGACCUCCAGAGUGAAGAUGGGUGAUUAGAUGAUCUGUGUGGGUGGGCCCCCCCCCACUCUUAUUUAUUUGUGGUUUUCCCGGGACAGCUGGAGCUGUGCCCCUUAGGCUUUCAGGGGGCUUGGUGUUCAGGGCCCUCCCUGCACUCACUUCUGCUGCCUGUGGACUUGGAGGCACUGCCUGGCUGGACCCUCAGUGUGGCGAGUGGGCUGCUGAUGACUGUGUGCAGCUUUGCACCCGUGUCCCACCUCUACCUCCAACCCAUCUUCCCAGUGUUUGUGAAAUAAACAUGGUAUUGGUCUGGGUCAAAAAAAAUGAAAGGGAGAUGUGUUAUAAUUCAGAAGCUUUAAUUUUCAACAAAUCACUAGCCUAAUAUAUCUUCCUCUUGUUGGAGUUUUUAUUCUUACUGUUGCUCAUACUGCCCUCUCUCUGCUCAGUGGUUUUUGGUUCAUUUUUAAUUUUUUGCGGCCUCAUCUAUCUCUACCCAGCCAGACCUGAGAACUGAUUCCAGGGAGCCUCGAUGCUGAGUCACAGUGGAACACACGUUUGCAGUUAGCUCUUGCACACUUGCCCUUGGGCGUCAGGCCCCUGUGGCCCACCAGGCCAUAUUCCUGGGACCAGAGGUUUGCCCACACUGUGCGAUUGACAAGGAGGUUUGAAUGGUGGUUACAGUGCCUGCUGUCCUUGUGGGUCCAGCAGUCAAGAAUCCCAGGUGUCUCCCAUCCCAUGGAGCAGUAGUCAGACCUGGUCAAUGGUUCUUGUUGACUAGUGGGCUGCAGAGUCAUUUAAUGUGACUCUAAUAGUCUUUGAUAGCUUUCUUUAUAUCUGGUAUAAUAAGAUAUUCUAGGUUCCUCGUACAUUUCUUCUUUCUUUUUUUUGCAAUUGAAGUUAUUCUUUUUUUAAUUUAAUUUUUAUUUUAUAUUGGAGUAUAGUUGAUUUACAAUGUUGUGUUAG